CGCAUGAUAUCGCGAUGACCUCGGUUGUUGCGAUCAAAGCCGCAAGGCGCUGAUGGAGGGGCCCGCGCCCGAUUAGCUAGUUGGUGGGGUAACGGCUCACCAAGGCAAUGAUCGGUAGCCGGUCUGAGAGGAUGGCCGGCCACACUGGAACUGAGACACGGUCCAGACUCCUACGGGAGGCAGCAGUGGGGAAUCUUGCGCAAUGGGCGAAAGCCUGACGCAGCGACGCCGCGUGGGGGAUGAAGCUUUUCGGAGUGUAAACCCCUUUCGACCCGGAAGAAUGUCCCGNCAGGGAUUGACGGUACGGGUAUAAGAAGCCCCGGCUAACUACGUG
rnacentral:rRNA from 1 species